rnacentral:rRNA from 1 species
AGUGAACGCUGGCGGUAGGCCUACCACAUGCAAGUCGAACGGCAGCACAGUAAGAGCUUGCUCUUACGGGUGGCGAGUGGCGGACGGGUGAGGAAUACAUCGGAAUCUACUUUUUCGUGGGGGUUAACGUAGGGAAACUUACGCUAAUACCGCAUACGACCUACGGGUGAAAGCAGGGGAUCUUCGGACUUUGCGCGAUUGAAUGAGCCGAUGUCGGAUUAGCUAGUUGGCGGGGUAAAGGCACACCAAGGCGACGAUCCGUAGCUGGUCUGAUAGGAUGAUAGGCCACACUGGAACUGAGACACGGUCCAGACUCCUACGAGAGGCAGCAGUGGGGAAUGUUGGACAAAAGGCGCAAACCUGAUCCAGCCAGACCACGUGGGUGAAGAAGGCCUUCCGGUUGUAAAGCCCUUUUGUUGGGAAAGAAAAGCAGCAGGUUAAUACCCAGCUGUUCUGACGGUACCCAAAGAAUAAGCACCGGCUAACUUCGUG